rnacentral:lncRNA from 1 species
GACCGUUUUCGAGAGCCAGGAAACAGAGAUGCUGUGGGGUACGCGGUUAGGCUACAGGUCGGGUAACGCAGCAAGACCGUUUCCGAGAGCCAGGAAACAGAUAUGUUGUGGAGUCGUAAGUAGCAGGGCCGCUGUCGGGAUGAACUUCUUGCUGGAGAGUAUCCUCACAAUAGCAGGUUGUAAUGCGGAUAACACUUCAUCGAUCGUCCGAGCACGAGAGAGCCAUGAUGACUGUGAGAUAGGAAACACCAAGAUCAUGGUGUUGGUCAUAGAAUAAGCUUGUGAUGCGCGACUUAUGAUGUGCGACUUAGGAGAAUAGCUUGGGCUUAGCAGCCAAUGAUCGUAGAUACAUCACGCGAGAGAGCAUCAUGUGGAAUGGAUCGGGCUUGGCUGCCAACGAUCGUAGAUAAAUCACGCGGGAGAGCAUCGCGUGGAAUGGAUCGGGCUUGGCUGCCAGCGAUCAUAGAUAAAUCACGCGGAAGAGCAUCGCGUGAAAUGGUCGGAGCAUGUUGCUAUAAUGGAGUCAGGCUGAGAAGCCAGGCGACUCAAAGCGAGAGUACUGAACCUCGCAUACGGAGCUUGCCGCUAUAAUGGAGUCGCGCUGAGAAGCCAGGAGACUCGGGGCGAGGGUACUGAACCUCACAUGCGGAGCUUGCCGCUAUAAUGGAGUCGGGCUGAGAAGCCAGGCGACUCAAAGCGAGAGUACUGAACCUCGCAUACGGAGCUUGCCGCUAUAAUGGAGUCGCGCUGAGAAGCCAGGAGACUCGGGGCGAGGGUACUGAACCUCACAUGCGGAGCUUGCCGCUAUAAUGGAGUCGGGCUGAGAAGCCAGGCGACUCGAGGCGAGGGUAUUGAGCCUCUCAUGCAGAGCUUGCCGCUAAUAUGGAGUCGUGAUGAGGAGCCAGGUGAAUCGAGGCGUGGGUAUUGAACCUCGCAUGCGGAGCUUGCUGCUAUAAUGGAGUCGGGCUGGGAAGCCAGACGACUCAAGGCGAGGGUACUGAACCUCGUAUACGGAGCUGGCCGCUAUAAUGGAGUCGGGCUGAGAAGCCAGGCGACUCGAGGCGAGGGUACUGACCCUCGCAUGCGGAGCUUGCUGCUAUAAUGGAGUCGGGCUGGGAAGCCAGGCGACUCUAGGCGAGGGUACUGAACCUCGUAUACGGAGCUGGCCGCUAUAAUGGAGUCGGGCUGAGAAGCCAGGCGACUCGAGGCGAGGGUACUGACCCUCGCAUGCGGAGCUUGCUGCUAUAAUGGAGUCGGGCUGGGAAGCCAGGCGACUCUAGGCGAGGGUACUGAACCUCGUAUACGGAGCUGGCCGCUAUAAUGGAGUCGGGCUGAGAAGCCAGGCGACUCGAGGCGAGGGUACUGACCCUCGCAUGCGGAGCUUGCUGCUAUAAUGGAGUCGGGCUGGGAAGCCAGGCGACUCUAGGCGAGGGUACUGAACCUCGUAUACGGAGCUGGCCGCUAUAAUGGAGUCGGGCUGAGAAGCCAGGCGACUCGAGGCGAGGGUACUGACCCUCGCAUGCGGAGCUUGCUGCUAUAAUGGAGUCGGGCUGGGAAGCCAGGCGACUCUAGGCGAGGGUACUGAACCUCGUAUACGGAGCUGGCCGCUAUAAUGGAGUCGGGCUGAUAAGUCAGGCGACUCAAGGCAAGGGUGCUGAACCUUGCAUGCGGAGCAUGCCGUUAUAAUGGAGUCGGGCUGGGAAGCCAGGCGACUCUAGGCGAGGGUACUGGACCUCGCAUGCGGAGCUUGCCGCUAGAGUGGAGUCGGGCUGAGAAGCUAGGCGACUCGAGGCGAGGGUACUGAACCUCGCAUGAUUGGGCGUAGCACCCAACAAUCCAUGUUUCUAGCUCGUGUUAUCAGUAUGGGUUAAAGCAGAAUGGUACCUGAUGCUCUGCUGCAUCGCUAGUUGUACUGAUAGUUGAUGCCUCGGUGUCUUGGCUAUCUGCGAAGAGCUAUGUGGCGGUGCUACUUAGAGCUUGAUAGUGUAGCUUUUGUUAGGAGGUGCACAACGAAACUGCUGUCAAGAACUGGUCAACAGGGCCGCUGAGAACUGGGCCUCGAGCUGCUAGCUAUGGAUGAGCAACAUGACUACUGAGAGCUGGGCAACGAGCCUCCCAAGGGUUGAACUACGAGGCUGCCCUUUCGAUCUAAUGUCACCUCGGGAAUACACUAUCACGUACGGUAUCAGCUCUUCAUAUACUUUAACUCUGCCCCUUUAGAAUAAAAAUCACUUCUGCAUAGUGUUACGCAGCAAGACCAUUUCCGAGAGCCAGGAAACAGAGAUGUUGUGGGGUACGUGGUUAGGAUACAGGUCGUGUUACGCAACAAGACCGUUUUCGAGAGCCAGGAAACAGAGAUGUUGUGGGGUACGCGGUUAGGCUACAGGUCGGGUAACGCAGCAAGACCGUUUCCGAGAGCCAGGAAACAGAUAUGUUGUGGAGUCGUAAGUAGCAGGGCCGCUGUCGGGAUGAACUUCUUGCUGGAGAGUAUCCUCACAAUAGCAGGUUGUAAUGCAGAUAACACUUCAUCGAUCGUCCGAGCACGAGAGAGCCAUGAUGACUGUGAGAUAGGAAACACCAAGAUCAUGGUGUUGGUCAUAGAAUAAGCUUGUGAUGCGCGACUUAUGAUGUGCGACUUAGGAGAAUAGCUUG